UGAAUUCCUCACCUUCAUAAAGGGACACAAGAACAAGAAAACGACAUAGAAAUUUUAACAAUUUUCGACGAGAAUUGGGCAGUUCAGAAACAAGGUUUCUACAGAAAAAUGAGGACGAUAAUUGAUCACUGACAUGAGCAUUUGGAAAUAAAAAUGUGAAGGAAUCAAAGGUUGUGGUAAUUCUCUCUGAAUAUAAAGAAAAUAAUAACCAUACAUGCGUCAUAAACUAAUAUUGAGGUGGAGGAAGAUGGAAAUAUAUUCCACAACAUUAGGAUGAAACUGAAAAGGUGCUGAGAAGCAGAGGGUCAAGAAGGGGAGGGUUAAGAAGGAGAGGGGAUAAGAAGGGGAGGGACUGAGAAGGAAAGGGGUUAUGAAGGGAAGGGGACAAGAAGGAGGUCAAGGGGGCAUAUUUUUCUGUGUCCCCAACCUAUGGUCUCCAAUAUGAGAGAAGACUUAAAAUUAAGCUUUUUCAUCUUAAUUUUACAUUCCUAUAAAGUAUUUUAUUUUCCCGCUACCCGAGCAGGACACAGCGGAGAAAGGUGACCACCAUAAAGUAUUUUAUUUUAUGCAGUCACAAAUAUUGAAAAUGAUAACUUCACAGCUUUGUUUGAUGGAUAAUAAUUAUCUCAAAAAGAGCACAACAUUACGUAGCUUUCAUAUUUCUCACCAUAGCAUGUGAUGUACUCUGUUAUUCGCUCAAGAACAUAAGGUAUCUCAGCAUCAUCAUAAUUUCUUUGAAUUAACUCAUCAAGAGGCACACCAAACGUCUUUGUAAUGUUUGGGUUGGUAGUUCCUAGUAAAAACAUAAUAAUUGCAGCUAGUUAGCUUUAUCCUGCUAAUGUUUCAAAGUUUGUUUGAAAGUUUAUGUAUUGGUUUAUUCUGCUAAUGUUUAAGUUUAUGAAAUUUAAUGAAUCAUACAUUUGUUUAUGGUAUCUUUGCAAA